UGACCGAUCUCUGAAGUGAUUCAGAGGGUGAAGGCCAUACGGACAGCCGGGUCAAAAGCCGA
rnacentral:sRNA from 22 species